UACGUAGGGUGCGAGCGUUAAUCGGAUUUACUGGGCGUAAAGCGUGCGCAGGCGGACCGGUAAGACAGAUGUGAAAUCCCUGGGCUUAACCUAGGAAUUGCACUUGUGACUGGCGGGCUCGAGUACGGUAGAGGGGGGUGGAAUUCCUGGUGUAGCAGUGAAAUGCGUAGAGAUCAGGAGGAACACCGAUGGCGAAGGCAGCCCCCUGGGCCUGUACUGACGCUCAUGCACGAAAGCGUGGGGAGCAAACAGG
rnacentral:rRNA from 1 species